AUUGAACGCUGGCGGCAGGCCUAACACAUGCAAGUCGAACGAGCGGCGGACGGGUGAGUAAUGUCUGGGGAUCUGCCCGAUGGAGGGGGAUAACUACUGGAAACGGUAGCUAAUACCGCAUACUAUCGGAUGAACCCAUAUGGGAUUAGCUAGUAGGUGGGGUAAAGGCUCACCUAGGCGACGAUCUCUAGCUGGUCUGAGAGGAUGAUCAGCCACACUGGGAAUGAGACACGGACCAGACUCCUACGGGAGGCAGCAGUGGGGAAGAUUGCACAAUGGGAGCAAGCCUGAUGCAGCCAUGCCGCGUGUAUGAAGAAGGCCUUAGGGUUGUAAAGUACUUUCAGCGGGGAGGCGUUACCCGCAGAAGAAGCACCGGCUAACUCCGUGCCAGCAGCCGCGGUAAUAC
rnacentral:rRNA from 1 species